ensembl:lncRNA
GUUAAGACUGUGUGUAGUUUCUCUGUUCUUUGUCUGUCUGUCUCCCUCUCUCUGUCUCUCACCAUCCUCUGGCUGGAUAAUACCAGGACAGUCUUGAUGGCAUCCAUAUACAGGAGAUGCAGAGCCACAACAUGACAAGAAUCUGGAUUCCUGACUCACUCUUUGAAGAAGAGCAGCUAAGGACAGCUGCCCAACCAGAAAUGGCCACGUUAGACCUUUGGUGCUCUGCCCUUCCCCACCACAACUCCUGCAACUCCAUCCCUUGGCAGGCAUUGCUGUUAUUUGUGUGGAAGGUGUUGUUCCUGAUAAGACUUGCAGUCCACAUGGCUGGGAGCAGUUACCAUGAUACAGGAAGCCAGAAGAAGCAACGGUCUGUUCUCCUAAAGAAGUCUGUAGUAGAAUAAGAGGUUAUAUUUGGGAUCAGUUGGAUGUCCCAUUGGACUAUCUUACAAGCAAUUAUAAACAUGGAACAAGUGAGUAACCAAAAGGCCAGGAAAAAAUUGAUGGUUGACGGCUGCACACCACCUGUAAAUCUGGAUUCCACAGCCUGACAUUCAAGGUCGCUGCCACCCAGCCCCAUCCUACCUAUUCACACUCAUCUCCGGUGGCCCCACAGUCUGGGCCCUCCUCUGGCCCAAUCAGUCAGCAAACUGUGCUUUUCUUUAUUUUUUCUCCUUGGAGUUUGUAUCAAUUAUUGCUAUUCUCUAUGCCUGGGACGCACUCCCUAAAUCUCUAAUUAUUAGCAUGUCUUUGUGUGUUAGGGCCAGUGCAGGUCCUUUCCAUUUGAAGAUGUUUUUCAAAAGCUCCAGUGCAUACUCUUCUCUUCUGAAGUACUGGAGCAUUUACAGCUUGUGCUAUUUGUAAAGCACUCAGUCAUAUACGUGUCCAUGUUCUUGUUUAAUCAGGUCAAACAUGAAUACCUACCUGGUUUUGUCAGUGAAAAUAUACAUGCCUUGAGGGUAAGGAUCAAUGUUCUUGCAUCAGUUAAGAAUUAUAUUUCACUACUGAAAACAGAAACUCCCAGAGUGGCUGUAAAACACUGAGAGUCAAAGUCACUCAGUCGUGACCGACUCUUUGUGACCCCAUGGCCUAUACAAGUCCAUGGAAUUCUCCAGGCCAGAAUACUGGAGUGGGUAGUCUUUCCCUUCUCCAGGGAAUCUUCCCAACCCAGGGAUCGAACCCAGGUCUCCUGCAUCGCAGGGGGAUUCUUUACCAGCUGAGCAGGAGUUUGAUUUUCCUCAUAUAUGAGAAGUAUGGAGGCAAGUAAUCCAAAGCUGGUUUGGCAAAUCUUGAUGAGAGCAAAGACCUAGCCUCCCUCAACCUUUCCACUUCUCCAUCCAUAGCAUGGACUUGUCACUUCAGAAUCACAAGUUGGCUGAUCCUCAGCAAGUGUAGAGUCAGUGCUGCCAGCAGGGAGAAGCCGGAAGGCAAUGGGCAAGCAUGCUUGCCCGCCUCAUCAGCCCUACUUUUAGCCUGCUCCUCUGGAAGCUCCAAGCCCACAAGUUCUACUACUUUGUUGGUCAACAGUUAGAUAUAUAGCCACUCUUCUUUGCAAGCAAUGCUGCAAAUGUAUUUUUUUAAAGUUGGACAUAUUAGCAUCCCCACCAAAAUUUGGGUUAUUUUUGUGAAGAGAAGAGGUGCUGACAACUCAUAGGCAAUCAGUUUUUUGUGCUUUGUGUCUAUUUCUCUCUUUCUCUCUCAUUGUGUACGUGUGUGUGUGUGUAUGUGUGUGUGCGUUCUUGUUCAGACACCCACACACACAUAUGUGGAGAGAGACAGACAGAUGAUUCUAUGUAUCUAGAUACUUAUCUCUUUAUAUUUCAAUAAUCA